CCCCAGGGCAGGGACUGGCUGGCUCAGGGGGGCAGGGAAUGGGGCAGGGGCCUGUCCCCUCUAGGGGGCACCAGCCCUGAUCCAGCCCCAGGCCAGGGGACUGGCUGGCCAGGG